CCCUUAGAUGUUCUGGGCCGCACGCGCGCUACACUGAUGCAUUCAACGAGCCUAUCCUUGACCGACAGGUCCGGGUAAUCUUUGAAUCUGCAUCGUGACGGGGAUAGAUUAUUGCAAUUAUUAAUCUUCAACGAGGAAUGCCUAGUAGGCGCAAGUCAUCAGCUUGCGUCGAUUACGUCCCUGCCCUUUGUACACACCGCCCGUCGCUCCUACCGAUUGAAUGUUCCGGUGAGCUCUUCGGACUGCGCGGUCUGCAGUUUCUGCGUUCCGUGCGGAAAGUUGCGCAAACCUUAACAUUUAGAGGAAGGAGAAGUCGUAACA
rnacentral:rRNA from 1 species